rnacentral:rRNA from 1 species
CGGGCAGGCGGUAGCUCAAGUCGGACGUGAAAGCUCCUGGCUUAACCGGGAGAGGCCGUUCGAAACUGAGCGACUAGAGGGCAGUAGAGGGGCGUGGAAUUCCGGGUGGAGUGGUGAAAUGCGUAGAGAUCCGGAGGAACACCAGAGGCGAAGGCGGCGCCCUGGGCUGCACCUGACGCUGAGCCGCGAAAGCCAGGGUAGCGAACG